UGCUCCAUCGGCUAAUGGCAAGCCGCUGUACUUUGGAUACAGCUAUCGAGGUUCGAAUCCUUGUGGAGCAGC
rnacentral:tRNA from 2 species